GGCGAGAUAGCUCAGCUGGCUAGAGCACACGGUUCAUACCCGUGGUGUCGAGGGUUCGAGUCCCCCUCUCGCUACGA
rnacentral:tRNA from 1 species